CACCCUAGCCACCCCCAGCCCCACCCCACCCUCUCCCUCCCUUUGCGAGUGUGAUUGUUUUGUCUGGAAAAAAAAAAUCCAAAGUAUAUAACAAGGGGAGAACAGUUAGUGCUGAUUUUCAUUUGCAUACAUUUUCAUAUAUUUUGGUGAAAAUAAUAGACUAGUGGAGAGCUGGGCUCCGAGGAGUCAGUGUGAAGGGAAGGCUAAGGAUGCAUCGGUUCUGGGGAGUUCAGAGUACGCCUCCCCCAAGCCCGCCACCUCGUUUAAAAAUAAAACGUCUUUUAUUUCAAAGUCUGACCCCGGAAGUUUGCUGGGCAAGGCACGCCCUGUUUCCUCAACUUGGGCCUUACAAGGAGUUUGUCUUUGUGGCUGGGGGCCAUGCCGCUUCUCCUCUGGGCCUGUGGCAGGUGCGCCCCUGCCUUACCAGGAUGCUCACAGAGUGCGCCAGAACUCCAGGUUCUCGGAAGGCAGCAGUUGUGUUCUGUAAUGACUGGCGAACCCUCGGGCAACGAAGAACUGCUCAUUCGUAGACCAGUCCAUCAAGCUGCCAGCAGCCUACAAGAAGGUGUCCCAGCACCUCAGUGUGGUCCCCGAGACUCUUCCCAGACUUCCUGUGGGGUGGAACCUGGAUGUGCUGGUAACUCCAUUAAACCGAGCAGAUGAGCGCCACCCAGGAGAAUAGAGGAGCCACCAGAGAGGGAGAAUCCGGGCCUCGUCUUCACUGUGGGCAACUGGACAUCCCGCCAACCUGGAAUGUACAACUCCAGAGGGUUGUGUAAAAGAGAAGGCAAUUCAAUUUUGUGAGCCACUGUAUUUUGGGAUCUGUUUAAUAGAAGAGUUCUUUAUGGAGAAAGAACUGUGAAAAGGUAACAAUUUUUACAGUUUUCACAGACUACAGUAGUCCUGGCAGUGGAGGUUGGGAAAGGGUAUUAAAAAAUCACAGAGGAAUUUCUCUAAUCACAUAAUAUUUGAAUUCAGUUAAAAUAAUAAAUGUAAGUCAGUAGUUUUAAGAGUUAAGUCGGAAGAGGGUUUCUUAGGUACCAUGCUGUCCAGUUCCAAGCAGGUUGGGAAAUGCUAGGUCAGAGUUAGUGGUGCCGUCAUGCAGUCAACAUUUGCAGUUUUGGAUUGUGGGCCAGGCUGUAGAAAAGGGGGCUCCCCAGACACACAGGGCACUGCCGUUUCUGUGGGUUGUGGGGGUUGUGACAGGGUUUGGGCAAGCCUGUCACACUUUCCUUCAUAUAUUAAUUUUUGUAAGUGAGAUUUUGUGUCUUACAGAGCAAUAUCCUGACUCUUUUGAAGUAAUUAUUAACAAGCAAGUUAUUUCAGGAUGGCAACAAUACAGUUUUCAGACUUACAGAUGUCAAUGUAGUUAUUGUUGGGCUUUCUGUCUCAGGUUUUAUUUUCCCUCAGCUUUAUUGAGAUGUAAUUCACAUAUAACACUGUGAAAGUUUAGAUGUACAAUGUGUGAACUUGAUACACAUACAUUGCAAAUUUCUGAGGUUUUUAACACUGUUUUCAGAAAUAGGAUAUUUCUUUCUCUCUCUCUCUUUUUUUUUUUUUUAACAGAGAAGAAGAGAUACAGAGGUUUGAAUAGUCUGCGUUGGGUGUAUUGUUUGACUCCCUUUUGUUGGGUUGGUUUUUUGCAUAUCUAAGAAAUCUAACAAGGAGUCCAAGUUUCAGCUUUUGCAGGUCAGGAAAUGGUUAGUGUGCCCCAGACUUGCCUUACAGACACGCUGAGGAUGAAAAUCUGCUUUUUUCUUUUCUUCUCCCUGCCCCUUCCGCCCAUCUCUCACCCCAAAGGUUGUAUCUCACCCCAACCCUCCCAAAGGGUUCCCUGGGAAUCAGGGCAUGCUUGACUGCCCCUGGAGAAUGGCCGCCCAUCAGCACAGCUGCUCCCUGGAAUCAGCCUGGAAGCCAGGCUCUCUCCAGGGCCGGAGGAGGGAAGAGGGGAGCCUGGGGUCACCCACGGCUGGAUUUCCUAUGGUUUCCUUGUGUGCGCUUUUUUACUGUGCUCCAAAAAACAGUGCCUGGAAGAGGCCUGGGGAGUCCCAUCAAAGGUACUGGCAUGCGGCCAAAGCCUGACUUCUCCCGGCCGCGGCCACAGGAGCUCCACUCUCUGGGUCUCCAUUUCUGUCCAGUUAAAACUGACAGGGAAGGUUGAUGAGAUUUAAAAUGGGCAAAUACUACAGCUUCUGAAAAAGAGGAAGCCAGAGAUAUGCUGUCCACUGCUGAAAUACUGGCAAGGCCACUCCAGCUGGGGGCAUUUUAUUCAGCUCUUUUCUAGAAAAACUUGGCUAUUUUUAGUAGACCAUUGCAAAUAGCAUGUAAUCAGGGCUAGUCUUAGGAGUACCCACUUGGUAAAGUGCCCGCUGAGUCGAUGGACGAAUGAGUAAGUGUCCUAUUUUAUUUUGGUUCCGAUUUUUCACCUACUUGGUCCAAUACUUGCCCCCUUUCCAAAUAAAUGGUGAUUAAUAUUUCCUUUUAAUAUUAAUAGAUCUUUUUAGUCAGAAAAAGAGUCUGGUUUAUGAUAAAAUGUGGUAAAAGAAGAAAAGGUGGGGUACAAAAACUAAGCCCUCUAUCAAGCUGAAAGAUGAAAUACCUCUUUGGUUGGAAGUUUUCUGAAUAAAAUAUUGCUGAGAAAAGUGGAGAAGAUGGAAAUGUUUGUG